rnacentral:rRNA from 1 species
CCCUUUGGGGUGUGACUGCGUACCUUUUGUAUAAUGGGUCAGCGACUUAUAUUCUGUAGCAAGGUUAACCGAAUAGGGGAGCCGGAGGGAAACCGAGUCUUAAUUGGGCGUUAAGUUGCAGGGUAUAGACCCGAAACCCGGUGAUCUAGCCAUGGGCAGGUUGAAGGUUGGGUAACACUAACUGGAGGACCGAACCGACUAAUGUUGAAAAAUUAGCGGAUGACCUGUGGCUGGGGGUGAAAGGCCAAUCAAACCGGGAGAUAGCUGGUUCUCCCCGAAAGCUAUUUAGGUAGCGCCUCGUGAAUUCAUCUCCGGGGGUAGAGCACUGUUUCGGCUAGGGGGCCAUCCCGGCUUACCAACCCGAUGCAAACUGCGAAUACCGGAGAAUGUUAUCACGGGAGACACACGGCGGGUGCUAACGUCCGUCGUGAAGAGGGAAACAACCCAGACCGCCAGCUAAGGUCCCAAAGUCAUGGUUAAGUGGGAAACGAUGUGGGAAGGCCCAGACAGCCAGGAUGUUGGCUUAGAAGCAGCCAUCAUUUAAAGAAAGCGUAAUAGCUCACUGGUCGAGUCGGCCUGCGCGGAAGAUGUAACGGGGCUAAACCAUGCACCGAAGCUGCGGCAGCGACACUCAGGUGU